rnacentral:rRNA from 1 species
UACGGAGGAUGCAAGCGUUAUCCGGAUUUAUUGGGUUUAAAGGGAGCGCAGGCUGCCUGUUAAGCGUGACGUGAAAUGCCGCGGCUCAACCGUGGAAGUGCGUCGCGAACUGGCGGGCUUGAGUGUGCACGAGGAAGGCGGAAUUCGUGGUGUAGCGGUGAAAUGCUUAGAUAUCACGAAGAACUCCGAUUGCGAAGGCAGCCUUCCAGGUCAUUACUGACGCUAAUGCUCGAAGGUGCGGGUAU